rnacentral:lncRNA from 1 species
GGGGGGUGUCCAUCCCGAAGCAACUGAGCUUCUUCCUAUGUCUUAGUACCUUAUCUAUUUGAAUAAAGCAUAUUGUGUGUUGCUAUGCAUUAUAGGGUGAUAAUACGUGCAUUCCUAUUCCUUGUAUGAUAUCUAUGAUUAAUAUAGUAUUAUGAUAUGGAUAUGUGAUAAAGUGGACAUAAGGAUUAGGAGAUGACAUUGGUAAACCUAUGAUGCUAAAUGAAAGAGGAACUUAGUGUUGUAUUUAAAGACAUGGUUUACAAGUGGCAUUGGACUUAGUGUGAUCGAAAUACAGAUAACUUGAACUUAGUAAUUGAUUGGUUGUUGUACUAGAAACUCUAGUUAUCAUUGAUCAAAUUGCAUUUUGAUAUCUUGCAUUAUAGGGUGAUAGUUGAUUGUUGGUUCUAUAUAUAUAUUGCAUGCUUCGUGGUAGAGUAAUGUACUUGGUUUAACUCUUAUAUCUAGCAUGCUUGAGGUUGUAAAUAUAUGAUAUGAGACCCUAUAAUGAGAUGGUAAAAGUUGAUGAGAUGAACAUUGUAAUGUCUUAGUUAUUGCAUUGGAAAUUCUACUUCGUCAUUGAUCAAGUUGCAUGUUGUACAUGUUGCAUAUAGGGCUAGAUGAUUGAUGUUGUUGUUUAUACUCGCAUGCUAGUUGUGUUAUGACUUAGAUGGAUUGGUUCAUGAUUCUAGUAUGCAUGAGAUUGAUGAGAUAGUAACCCUAUAUGUGAUGGUUAUGUUCUAUGUGAAUGUUGAACCUAGUAAAGUAUAACUAGUGUCGUGAAUAUUGAACCUAGUAAAGUAUAACUAGUGUUAAACUAGAGUUGAGAACAUGUCAAAUGACGAGUGGCAUCUAGUUAGAAAACUAUGACAAGUGGCAUAUAGUUAGAAAACUAUGAUGAGUGGCAUAUGAUUGUUGAUGACCUUGAUAUGAGAACACUAGUGUAGUUGAGACACUAUGAGAUUGGGUACAAGUAUACCUCGAUUCCAUGAUGAGAUUACCCUUAGAGGGUAGGUUGCUGUUGCUCGUGAGAUGAUCACGCUCACAUUGCCUGUCUGCGCUUGGUGGGGUCGCUCCCCUCAAGUUGUGCGCUCCGGAGUUUGGUCACUAGAGAGGCAGCCCUGCUUGCUGCUCGGAUAGCCGCUUGUUAUCCGCAGGCGUACUCGGGGAUAGUCCAGCUCGACAUCCCUAGGAGAUUGAUAUGUGAGCCUUGCUUGUGAACCUCGUGUUCACCUUGAGAUUGGGUUACCUAUUGAGCCAUACCCAUUAUUGUUGUUCAUGAUAGCUUGCUUCCAUAGUUGUUGUUGUUGUUCAUAGUAGCUUACUAGUGUUCAUAGUAGCUUACUUAUUGCUCAUGCCUUCAUGAUAUACUAUUCCUUCACCUAUGAGAUUUGAGUACCUAUUGAGUCAUACUCAUUAUUGUUGUUCAUGAUAGCUUGCUUCCAUAGUUGUUGUUGUUGUUCACCUAUGAGAUUUGAGUGGAGUAGCCCUGUACCUAGUAGGUCGAGAUGUGAGUCGGGCAAAGUGCGGGGUAGCCUUUGCCUAGGACCUUGAGAUGUGAGUCGGGCGAGGGGCGGGGUAGCUCUUUGCCUGGGACUCACGAGAUUGGGUCAGACCUUUGAGAUAUGAGUCGAGUGAGACAAGAGUGAGGUAGCUCUUCACCUACUAGAUUUGAGAUCUUAGGCAAGUUAGCCUAGCGGAUUGGGUAAUAACAUGAAUAGCAUAAGAGUAUUGCAUUCAUACCUUGAUUAGACAUAGUGCAUUGCAUAACUAUGUUGUUGUUGUAUUUAUUUCACUGUUGAGGCAUAUUAGCAUGAUAGUAGAUUGUUGCUAGAUGAUGUUCCAUGCAUACUUUGCAUUUGAUGGCAUAGUAGAUAUAGUAGUAGUAUUUCCAUAUAUCUUUCUAUCUAUCUAUCUGUGCCAGCUUGGACCUAGUGGGAAGAUCGGCGGAGUCGGCGGCCGAACCCACUGGGAACUAUAUUUAUAUAGUUCUCACCCCGUGUGGUUUUGGGGUACAGGUACACACGAGAGCGGAUCGGCAGAGGAUCGCGUUAUGGGCUUAGCGCCCUAGUGCUAGUUGAUAGUUUACUUUCCUAUUUUGCAUUAGAGUUACCCUAUACAUGUAUUGAGAGUAGAUGAUGUAUAGGAUGUGAGGUAUUUUGAGAUAAAUGUAAACUAAUGUUUAUACUUUGGAUGAAUGUAAAGCUAAGUUGUAAUUAAAUGUAUCAAGUUGAAUGGUUGUAAUAGAAUAGCUUAGUAUCUCUCUUUUGUUUCACUUGUAUGUUUACUACUCGUGACGCUUGCUCUUGUAAUGUUCAGCACUGUUUGUGCUCUCACUGUUGUUGCAUGAUCAUGUAUGUAUUCAAGUUGAUUUCCUGGGGACUUGUUGUACAUGAUCUCGUCAUUUGAGCCUUGGGCGGACAGGGGAGACUCUGUCCGUUCGGCGGUCCGCCCGCCGCGCCCGAACCGUGCCAAAUCGGUAGCGGCCUCGGGGCGUGGGGCGUGACAAUUCACCUUCAUCUCCUCUUCGAGCUCCCAGGUGGCUUCGCGAUCAUCAUGAUUGCUCCACCGGACUUGGACAUAAGGAAUUUCCCGAUUCCUUAACUUGCGCACUUCACGAGCGGUAAUUGCCACCGGGAAUUCCUCG